AGUACCAAGCCGGACUAACGGAUAACAUUGAUGGCGUUAAAUAUGAAUAACUUCUGGUACUU
rnacentral:tRNA from 1 species